rnacentral:rRNA from 1 species
GACGAACGCUGGCGGCGUGCUUAACACAUGCAAGUCGAACGGAAAGGCCCUGCUUUUGUGGGGUGCUCGAGUGGCGAACGGGUGAGUAACACGUGAGUAACCUGCCCUUGACUUUGGGAUAACUUCAGGAAACUGGGGCUAAUACCGGAUAGGAGCUCCUGCUGCAUGGUGGGGGUUGGAAAGUUUCGGCGGUUGGGGAUGGACUCGCGGCUUAUCAGCUUGUUGGUGGGGUAGUGGCUUACCAAGGCUUUGACGGGUAGCCGGCCUGAGAGGGUGACCGGCCACAUUGGGACUGAGAUACGGCCCAGACUCCUACGGGAGGCAGCAGUGGGGAAUAUUGCACAAUGGGCGGAAGCCUGAUGCAGCAACGCCGCGUGCGGGAUGACGGCCUUCGGGUUGUAAACCGCUUUCGCUUGUGACGAAGCGUGAGUGACGGUAAUGGGUAAAGAAGCACCGGCGAACUACGU